UAUUAUUAUAAGUCUGUGUCGUCUUAAAAGACGAACGAAGGUUAAAAGCGAUAAUAUGAUUGGUCGGUUCCUGAACAGUCAUACCUGGGAUUUGAUUGGCUUAGAGAUAACAACAGGAAAAAACGCGCCAUUUGCAGUUUGCCAAUAAUAAUAAAUAAUGACAAAACAUUGUGUAUUUUGCACUAUGAAUUGGUUUUAAGAUCAUUUUGAUUGAGCAGAAACAAUCACAGUUUAUUACCGAAUACUUGGCUAUGGCGGAAAAUUAAGAACUUCGAUCAAGUUUCGGAUGUCCUACUAUUUUCGUCACGUUUGGAAGGGAAAAAAGAAAAAUCGUCAGCGCAUUCUAGUCAUCAUAUUAUGGAAAUAUUUGUGACUGAAUCCCAUCUGAAUGUUGGAUGACAUAUAUCAAGAUGACACUGAACAGGACAUAACUGAGGAAAAUGGAUGUGAGAUAAUCCAAUCUAACAGUUGGAAAUAAAUAUAUAUAGUAUUUA